AUGGCUCUUAGGUUUGGUUUAAUUCUUGCACAAAAGGUGGGAUGCAAUCGUCUUAUUAUUAACUCUGAAAAUAUGGAAGUCAUUGACACAAUGAAGAAUGGAGGACAAUCGGUGGGGGUUGCAGCGGCAGUAUUCUAGGAAUGCUACUUCAUGGCAUGCGAUUUUUCGUUGACUAGAUUUGUACAUUGUAAUAGGGUAGCUAAUAAGGUUGCUCAUGAACUUGCUAGGCUAGCGAAAGCUUCUUGUAAGUGCAUCUAG
rnacentral:rRNA from 1 species